GGGGAUGUGGCUCAGUGGUAGAGUGCUUGCCUUGCAUGCAUGAGGCCCUGGGUUCAAUUCCUCAGUACCA
rnacentral:tRNA from 1 species